ACUGGGUCACUUAGCUGGGGCAUACCAAGUGGACGACACUGACGGGAGGAGCUGGGACUCUCUGCUAAAGGGGAGGAAAACCUACCUGGUGGUCGACCCCCAUAAGGAAGAUACCACCUCUAAGAAGAAGGAAGAGGAGCGAACUCCUACUCAGACCGAUUCCAACAGUAGCAGUCAAGUCCUGGACGACGGCAUAAGAGGGUCGUUAGAUACCAUAGACGCUGCAAGGCGGAGAGCCAAGAAGCUGAACUGCCUAACCCUGUUAUUCAAACACCUAAAGCUGGAGAAACAGAAACAUUGCUAUGGCUGUGUCAUAUGAAGUUACCUUUCCUGUUGAGGUGCUACUCCUCUCUGUGGUCUGCACCGGACACCUCAAGUUUAAGGACUUCUACAACGAGUGCAGCGUGAACCGAGAUGGACUCUCCUCAACGAGAUCAUCUCAGACUUUGAUGAGGGCUGUGAUAUGUCCUACAGCCAUGUGCGCAGUAUGGUAGAGUUUGCCAUCGCUCUGAAGAACAACCUGGAGUCCAUCAACCAACACUCCUUCAACAGCUUCAAGCUAUGAAUCGGUAAAUCUGUCUGGCUGACUGGCCAGUGGGACAAGAAAAAUAUGGACUGACUCAUUUAAUCUUUACUCGAUUCCUUGUCGUCUCUCCUUGCCUGAUUCUCAAAAUGUAUUGGAGAAGAAAGUUCGAGGGAAGGGACCUUCUCCUACGGUUGAGGAUGCACAGAAUCAAGGAAAGACUAAAAGAGAUUGAGCCUUAACUUUAUAACCAUCUCCCCCUUCCUACUCACGUUUUAAUAUUCUCUUUAAUAUGGAUAAACCAUGGUCCAGUGAUUGCAGGGGUGAUUGGAGCACACAAACUGACCAAUCAGCUCCCCUGUUCUGACCUCUCCAACCAAUCAUCAACACUCAUCUGGCCAAACAAUUUUGUGUUAGAAAUACCCGGGUUGAUUUCUGGUCCCAGUCAGUUCCUUUCUGUUGUCUUUUUGAUGAAGAUGUUAAACCAAAAUCCAGACUGUCAGAAUAUAUAUACUUGGUUGGCAAUAAUUUGUGAUAAUUUAUUCAUUGUGUUUUUAAUAACUCUCUACUCAUGUACUACUGUAUGUAUCUAUGUGUGAUCUGUGUAUGGCAGACACCAAACCAAAGACCUUUAGCAACAUCCUCUUAUUACUAAUGACACACACAGAGUGGGUUCAAGGCAAGAAAUGACAUUGAAAGGGCCUUAUUAGGAAAUGACAGAGUAUAUGGAAACUCUAGAUUGUGUGCUCUUCAAUGGUUCCCUUAAAGGGAUGUUUGAAAUAAGUGCUGCUGCAUAUAAUAAGAAUGGUGUUAUGUUAUUGCAAUGGACGAGGAGGUUCUGGCCAGUAGGCUUCUCUGCUAAAGGUAUUGAAACAUUCACACAUAGCUACACCUUUUUUAAUCCAUCUGCUGCCACUUUAGUGGCCUGAGAAUGCAAUAUAACUUUUGAUAAUGUAAUUACAUGUUUUGUAUUUAGUUUGUAUUAAAGAGAUUAAUAUGUGUUGUCUA